rnacentral:rRNA from 1 species
AUUGAACGCUGGCGGCAGGCCUAACACAUGCAAGUCGAGCGGAUGACGGGAGCUUGCUCCUUGAUUCAGCGGCGGACGGGUGAGUAAUGCCUAGGAAUCUGCCUGGUAGUGGGGGACAACGUUUCGAAAGGAACGCUAAUACCGCAUACGUCCUACGGGAGAAAGCAGGGGACCUUCGGGCCUCGCGCUAUCAGAUGAGCCUAGGUCGGAUUAGCUAGUUGGUGAGGUAAUGGCUCACCAAGGCGACGAUCCGUAACUGGUCUGAGAGGAUGAUCAGUCACACUGGAACUGAGACACGGUCCAGACUCCUACGGGAGGCAGCAGUGGGGAAUAUUGGACAAUGGGCGAAAGCCUGAUCCAGCCAUGCCGCGUGUGUGAAGAAGGUCUUCGGAUUGUAAAGCACUUUAAGUUGGGAGGAAGGGCAGUAAGUUAAUACCUUGCUGUUUUGACGUUACCGACAGAAUAAGCACCGGCUAACUCUGUGCCAGCCGCCGCCGUAAAAC